GAGUACUGCAUGGGAAAUCCGUACUAUUCCAUCGAAGCUCGUCAGGUUUUGGACGCACCAGCAUCCCGUGUCAGCAUCCCCAUCUCCGCAUCCGACCUCCUCGCCCUGGGCCUCAGCCCCUGCUCCGACUUCGCCUUCAUCUUGGCGGUCCGCAUCCACCUUCCCUCGGGCGGGGACUACUACGUGGCCUGGGACUGGGGCGGAUGCAACCGGGAUGGAUCCGACCAGCUGUGGCCGCUGGCAAGGCUAGGACUGCACCACUGCCCGUGCCCAUCACCCCCCGAUGGCACCGCCCCCAACCACGGUCCUAUGCAAUCUCCGGCGUCCGGCUCCCCCUCGCCGCCUCAAGCCAUGAAGGACUGCUCUCUAGCCGAGAAGGUCUCCCUUCCGGGCGACGCAACGUUCAUCGCGGGGAACCUAACAGACCUCCAGAUCCGCGGAAGCAGCCCUGGCGUCGCCACGCUCUACACCAACACGCCCAACCUCGGUGACAUCACCUUCACCAUCUCCUUCGCGCAGACCGCUCCGUCCGGCAAUCGCACGACUGCUGCACCCGCGCCGCCAAAGGCCUCCUGGGGCUUAUUCUCCUCGGAGGAGUUCAUGCGGCUAUCGCUGCAAUUCGCUGCGACAAACCGAUCGGCGGAGGGUUUGGGAUCCGCGGGACCGAGUACCACCUGCACCGAGCCGAGCCUACCCUGGAGUCGUACCCUGGACGACCAGACGUCAUCGUUUAAUGUCACCAUGACCAGCUCAGAUCUCAGGCUCGCAGGGUUGCAGACAUGCUCCGAAACCCAGCUGGUGUUCAUGGCCCUAGUGGAAUCGUACGGACUCGUUCAAAGCGAUCUGCGGUGGGAGCUGUACCGGCAGUACGUGGCGUGGCAGACGCUGCAGGGGUGUGUGGAUGGCGGGAACGUCAGUUAUGCUGCGUUCUCGCUGUCGUACUGCCCCUGUGAGUCACCGCCGCCUCCGUCGCCAGCGCCAUUAGCUCCGCCAUCCCCGCCACCGCCUCCAUCCCCGCCGCCGCAGCCACCCCUGCCGCCGCGCCCACCUCAGCCGCCGCUGCCGCCGCUGUCCUGCGGCUCGGGCUUCACGUUCCUUAGCAACGGUGUUCCGGUGAAGGGCAUCACCUCCGAUGUACUGCUUGACGUACAGGGCGCCAUUAACAACUUCGAUUUCAGCUCGACGGAUUACCUCAACGCCAGCUCCGCCGCUCGUCUCUCUGUGAAGCCCAAUGCGCCUGGAAUCGCCACACUGGACUUAUUCCUGGACUUGCCUGCCGGUACGGAAGUGUACUGGCAGCUGUACAACAACGCCACGUACGAACAAGCCGUAUGGGUUACGGAUUACACGAUAGGGCAGGAGUACUGUCUCGGGAGUCCGUACAACGCGAUGUUCAGUCCUCGUGCUGUUCUCGACGCACCCACUGCCAAAUUCAGCAUCCCCAUCUCCGCAUCCGACCUCCUCGCCCUGGGCCUCAGCCCCUGCUCCGACUUCGCCUUCAUCUUGGCGGUCCGCAUCCACCUUCCCUCGGGCGGGGACUACUACGUGGCCUGGGACUGGGGCGGAUGCAACCGGGAUGGAUCCGACCAGCUGUGGCC
rnacentral:lncRNA from 1 species